UAACGACUCUCGGCAACGGAUAUCUCGGCUCUCGCAUCGAUGAAGAACGUAGCGAAAUGCGAUACUUGGUGUGAAUUGCAGAAUCCCGUGAACCAUCGAGUCUUUGAACGCAAGUUGCGCCCCAAGCCAUUAGGCCGAGGGCACGCCUGCCUGGGUGUCACGC
rnacentral:rRNA from 1 species